rnacentral:RNase_P_RNA from 2 species
UGGAGUGGGCGAGGCGGUUGCUUCACUUCCCCCCGACGGGGAAGAGGGAGAGGAAAGUCCGAACUCCACAGGGCAGGAUGGUCGCUAACGGCGACUCCGGGCGACCGGAGGAAAGUACCACAGAAAACACACCGCCUCCGGGAAGGACGCCUCCGACCCGGCGGCAAGGGUGAAAAGGCGAGGCAAGAGCUCACCGGCCUGGUGGCGACAUCGGGCGCACGGCAAACCCCAUCCGGAGCAAGACCAAACAAGCCCCGCGCGGGAUGGCCCGUCCCUGGGGCGGGUCGGUCGCUCAUUCCCCCGAGCAAUCGGGGGGUCAGACAAAUAACCGCCCCCGCUUGAAAGAGCGGGAACAGAAUUCGGCUUAUGUCCCGCUCCAACCG